AACACGCAGUGUUUCCAAACUGCUUCUCGAGCUGAGAACUGGUUAUUAAAUAAAUAGAACCCUAUUACAUAUUAUUAUUUUUGUGAAGAACUGAGCGGAGAAAGUGCUUUCUUGCUACAUAGAGACGUGCAUCCGAUUGCUACCCUGCAGGGCAGGCUGUUGGGCUUCUCAACCCCUUUCUCCACGGUGCCACCUCCUGCCCCCCCUUAUCCAAGCGUGACCCAACUUUUCUGGCUCCGUUCGCUCCCUACAACCCGUAGCCUUGCCCAUCAUCCAGCUCCAAGUCCCGGGGAGGUUCUGGUUGGGUGGGGGGCUAUGGAGGGAGGCAGAGGCAAUCGCCUUACCUGGGAGGAAGAAGGCGGUCAAGCCGAGAGCGAGUCCCCACCAGCGUCCAGCGGCGCCCGCAAGCCCCAUCCGAGCCAUCGGGGGGUGGGGGUCCGGCGAAAGGGGCUGCCAGGAGGGCGCUCCUCGCGCUCCAGAAACCAGUCUGGAAGACGAGGGCGGAUCGCUGGCGGUUGGCGGGCGCUCGGAGGAUCCAGGUCAGCCGCAGCCGUCGGUCGGGGCGGGGUGGGCUGGGUGGGAUCCGCGCGGCCGCAAUCCGGUCCCCGGCUGCCGCCGGCUCAGAGCCUCGGCAGAUGCCCGCAGUAAGUUGCACGAGUCAUGCCCCCUUCGCCUCCUCCGCUCUUCUCCUCGCCCCGGUCCCCGCCCUCUUCUUCCACGCAAAGCCCGGCUGGGGAGAGGGACCCACCCCCGGCGCGCCCGGCUACCGGGCUAGCGCGGCGCAGGCUCCCGGCCCUGGGCGCGCUCACACCCUCCCGCUCGGCUCCAACUUGCAGGCGUCCAUGGCCGGCUGUUCUCCGAGGGUGGCCGGGCGGUGCGGAGGGCUCGGGGCCCAGGCGGUGGUGUGCGGCUAGGGCGGCCAGCUGCCCGCGGGGCUCGGGGCUGCACGGUCUCGGAGGACCGAGGGGAGCGAGCCGGGUGCGCCACGGGUCCCCACCGCGGCCGCUGCGCUCGGUGCGGGCGAUCCGCAACAAUGUGGAGCUGCCCCGGUGCCGAGGCGAGCCGCGCUCUCUCCUCUCCCUCUCUUUCUCUCACUCGCCGAUCCAGCCUCUCACCCGCUCUCCCGUGAUGUCAGCCCGGGGGGAGGGGUUAGCAUUAACCCCCUCCUGGCUCCCACGCGCCCGGCCCAGCCCUGGCCCGGCCUCCGCCCGCGCGGCCGCACCUCCCAGUCCUAAGCAGCUGUGGCUGCGAGCGUGGCCGUGGGGUUCGGCUCAGGGCCCCAAGCUAGCAAGAUGCCCCUUGGGUCGCCGUUCGGUCGUGGAAAGGGCCGGAGGGCGGGCUGCCCUCCUCGGUCGCUGACAAAGGGAGGCAGUGACCCCUAGCGGCCGGCAAGGGGGAGAAGCUGCUCGGUAGGGGUGGAGUUAAGAUGAGGAGGGGGGCUGCCGUAGGGAUCCGUGUGAACGCUGGAUCUGGCAUUGUCCGAGCUCCGAGGGCUUUUCUGACUCUCUGGUCCGACCCUGGGACCAUUUCGCAGAUGAGGAAACAAAGGCCCAGAGGAGGGCAUGGAGAGUGGCAGAAAGAAGCAGAGCACAGGCUAGAACUGUUGCCAAAGCUUCUGCUCCCCAAGAUCUGGACACCAGACGGAAACAGCUUUGCGGAGGACCAACCGCGAAAGCUGUGAAGAGUUGAGGCAAGACAAGACAUUAGUGGGAUCCAAAUCGGGACACCACGUGGCAUUUAAUGCAAGUGGCCUUCUAAUACCAAUGACAGGCUGUAUGCAUGAGAACCCUUCCCUGGCCUGCCAGACUGAGGCCAUUGUCACGGCCUCUGCCAUGCCUGUUGGAUCUAGCCUGCUUCUGGAGCCUUACGGCCCUCUGCCCUAGAGCUUUGAGUCUGAGAUACUAUAGGGUCCUGGGCUGCUGGUCAUAGAAUUUAUUUCCUGUGCAACUCUCUCACGGUCCUUUUGGUCAGCCACCUUCUCUUUGGCCUCAGUUUACUUACGUCUCCUCUGCCUUCCCCACAGCCCCCUUUCCAUCCCUGCAGCCUUACUGAUGAUUACUUCCAAUGCUUGAUCUACUCCAGGACAGGGACAGUACCAUCUUAUUCUCUUUCUUAUCCCUGGGACCUAAAGCACACCUCAUACCCACUGAACACUGAAUGGAAAUGGGCUGUCUUCUCACCUGUGUCCUCUGUCCCCUUUCGCCGAUCACAUAACCACCCUGGGUCUCAUUUCUCCUCAUCUGCAGACCGAGGAGGCUGAUGUGCCCACUGGCUUUCAAAUUGCAUUUUGAGAGCCCUACAACAUCUUUGGGUCCUAACUCCCAGCUUUAAUGAGAGCCAUGUUUACACAGCAUGUUGUUUUCAUACACUGUAAACACUGACCGUUCUGAAAAGUAUUUCUCUUAAUGGAGUUUGAAGAUUUGGCUGUUCAAAAAAGUUUGAGAUCCCGGGCUGAUUAUUGCGUUAUAUGUGAUGAUUGCAUAAAGGUGCUGCACGGUUUCACAAUUGCAUGGUGGUUGGUUUAAAUCUUUUCAGGAGAUGAAUCUGGCAACCGUGUGGGUAGGACAGACAGAUGAUGAUUGGUCAGUGAAGGAGGAGGGGGCUGGAGUUACCUGCAGAGGGAGGUUGGAAGGCGGCUUCAGAUUUCACA
rnacentral:lncRNA from 1 species